AAUGAAUUCUACAACAGGGUUCAACUCUUCGUCGAUUCCCAGCACUGCAAUGAAUUCUACAUCUGGUAUAUUGGUCCCUUUAUUCUAGUUAGCUGAUUGAACUGAAACAGAGUGGCUAUGUGAUCCUUAUUUUCCUGUUAUAUCCUUUGGUGUGUCGCUAGAAGGCCUAGUAUGUAAAGCAGAUUUUGCGUAUUAAGAAUCCCCUAAAAUGUUGCUAAUGAUAUUUGGACAUCUGUAAUUCAACAGCUAAGAUAUUACAGUGAAUAUUACUCUUAUAUGUCCUCCCGCUGACCCCAGAGUCUUUGUAAAUAUUUAAAAUAUUAUGUAUACAUUUUCACUUUGGACUGAAAUGCAGGUUUAUUCUCUGCACUGAUAAAAUCAGGAAGUCACAUAAAGUAGGUCCACUUGUGUUAGUGCACACCCACUCACCUGACAACUUCAGUUAGGUCUGCAAGCACCUGAGACCCCUAUGGGAGUCACUACCACUGGGCCUAAGUUGCAAUCUAAUUUUUGUUAGACACUAAUUCACUAAAGCUCAAACUAAUAAACCUUUUCAUAUAUGCAUAUUUUUGUACUUAGAUAAGAAAAACAUUAUUUUCUCAACAGGGUUCAACUCUUCGUCGAUUCCCAGCACUGCAAUGAAUUCUACAUCUGGUAUAUUGGUCCCUUUAUUCUAGUUAGCUGAUUGAACUGAAACAGAGUGGCUAUGUGAUCCUUAUUUUCCUGUUAUAUGCUUUGGUGUGUCGCUAGAAGGCCUAGUAUGUUAAGCAGAUUUUGCAUAUAAAGAAUCCCCUAAAAUGUUGCUAAUGAUUUUUGGACAUCUGUAAUUCAACAGCUAAGAUAUUACAGUGAAUAUUACUCUUACAUGUCCUCCCGCUGACCCCAGAGUCUUUGUAAAUAUUUAAAAUAUUAUGUAUACAUUUUAACUUUGGACUGAAAUGCAGGUUUAUUCUCUGCACUGAUAAAAUCAGGAAGUCACAUAGAGUAGGUCCACUUGUGUUAGUGCACACCCACUCACCUGACAACUUCAGUUAGGUCUGCAAGCACCUGAGACCCCUAUGGGAGUCACUACCACUGGGCCUAAGUUGCUAUCUAAUUUUUGUUAGACACUAAUUCACUAAAGCUCAAACUAAUAAACCAUUUCAUAGAUGCAUAUUUUUGUACUUAGAUAAGAAAAACGUUCUUUUCUCAACAGGGUUCACCCCUUCGUCGAUCCCUAGCACUGCAAUGAAAUCUACAUCUGGUAUAUUGGUCCCUUUAUUCUAGUUAGCUGAUUGAACUGAAACAGAGUGGCUAUGUGAUCCUUAUUUUCACGUUAUAUGCUUUGAUGUGUCGCUAGAAGGCCUAAUAUGUAAAGCAGAUUUUGCGUAUUAAGAAUCCCCUAAAAUGUUGCUAAUGGUUUUUGGACAUCUGUAAUUCAACAGCUAAGAUAUUACAGUGAAUAUUACUCUUAUAUGUCCUCCCGCUGACCCCAGAGUCUUUGUAAAUAUUUAAAAUAUUAUGUAUACAUUUUAACUUUGGACUGAAAUGCAGGUUUAUUCUCUGCACUGAUAAAAUCAGGAAGUCACAUAAAGUAGGUCCACUUGUGUUAGUGCACACGCACUCACCUGACAACUUCGGUUAGGUCUGCAAGCACCUGAGACCCCUAUGGGAGUAACUACCACUGGGCCUAAGUUGCUAUCUAAUUUUUGAUUAGU
ensembl:lncRNA